rfam:Schistosoma margrebowiei strain Zambia genome assembly, scaffold: SMRZ_scaffold0002403
AUCCAGCUGACGAGUCCCCAAUAGGACUGAACGCUCCUCCUGUAU